UGGGAAGUCCCCCAUUGAGUCUGGAGC
rnacentral:piRNA from 1 species